GACGAACGCUGGCGGCGUGCUUAACACAUGCAAGUCGAACGGGCCUGUCUUCUUUUUUGGGGGUGGGUUGAGUGGCGAACGGGUGAGUAUCACGUGAGUAACCUGCCCUUCGGUCCUGGAUAACCGCUUGAAAGGGCGGCUAAUACGGGGUGGUCCGGUUGGUCCGCAUGGGCUGGUCGGGAUAGAUUCACUGUUUUUGGUGUUUCGGCGGGGGAUGGGCUCGCGGCCUAUCAGCUUGUUGGUGGGGUGAUGGCCUACCAAGGCGGUGACGGGUAGCCGGCCUGAGAGGGUGGGCGGCCACACUGGGACUGAGAUACGGCCCAGACUCCUGCGGGAGGCAGCAGUGGGGGGUAGUGCACAAUGGGCGGAAGCCUGAUGCAGCGACGUCGCGUGAGGGAUGGAGGCCUUCGGGUUGUGAACCUCUGUUUCCGGUGGUGAAGGCCCUGUCCGUGUGGUGGGGUUGACGGUAGCCGGGGAUGAAGCGCCGGCUAACUACGUG
rnacentral:rRNA from 1 species